rnacentral:rRNA from 1 species
AAUCAACGCUGGCGGCGUGCCUAACACAUGCAAGUCGAACGCGAAAGUCCCGCAAGGGAUCAGUAGAGUGGCAAACGGGUGAGUAACACGUGGGUGACCUGCCCUCAGCUCUGGGAUAAGCCUGGGAAACCGGGUCUAAUACCGGAUAUGACUCCAUGACGCAUGUUGUGGGGUGGAAAGCCUUGUGCGGCUGAGGAUGGGCCCGCGGCCUAUCAGCUUGUUGGGGGGUGAGU